rnacentral:rRNA from 1 species
CCUACGGGAGGCAGCAGUGAGGAAUAUUGGUCAAUGGACGCAAGUCUGAACCAGCCAUGCCGCGUGCAGGAUGACGGCCCUAUGAGUUGUAAACCGCUUUUGCACGAGGGUAAACCCCGAUACGUGUAGCGGGCUGCAAGUAUCGUACGAAUAAGGACCGGCUAACUCCGUGCCAGCAGCCGCGGUAAUACGGAGGAUCCGAGCGUUAUCCGGAUUUAUUGGGUUUAAAGGGUGCGUAGGCGGUGUGAUAAGUUAGCGGUGAAAUGUCGGGGCUCAACCCCGAAACUGCCUCUAAUACUGUUGGACUAGAGAAUAGUUGCGGUAGGCGGAAUGUAUGGUGUAGCGGUGAAAUGCUUAGAGAUCAUACGGAACACCGAUUGCGAAGGCAGCUUGCCAAACUAUAUCUGACGUUGAGGCACGAAAGCGUGGGUAGCAAACAGGAUUAGAUACCCUUGUAGUC